CGCGGCCUAUCAGCUUGUUGGUGAGGUAACGGCUCACCAAGGCAUUGACGGGUAGCUGGUCUGAGAGGAUGAUCAGCCACACUGGGACUGAGACACGGCCCAGACUCCUACGGGAGGCAGCAGUGGGGAAUAUUGCACAAUGGGCGCAAGCCUGAUGCAGCAACGCCGCGUGAGGGACGACGGCCUUCGGGUUGUAAACCUCUUUUAGCAGGGAAGAAGCGAAAGUGACGGUACCUGCAGAAAAAGCACCGGCUAACUACGUGCCAGCAGCCGCGGUAAUACGUAGGGACCAAGCGUUGUCCGGAAUUAUUGGGCGUAAAGAGCUCGUAGGCGGUUCAGUAAGUCGGGUGUGAAAACUCAAGGCUCAACCUUGAGACGCCACUCGAUACUGCUGUGACUUGAGUCCGGUAGAGGAGUGUGGAAUUCCUGGUGUAGCGGUGAAAUGCGCAGAUAUCAGGAGGAACACCAGCGGCGAAGGCGGCACUCUGGGCCGGUACUGACGCUGAGGAGCGAAAGCAUGGGGAGCAAACAGGAUUAGAUACCCUGGUAGUCCAUGCCGUAAACGUUGGGCACUAGGUAUGGGAUCAUAUCAACGGAUUCCGUGCCGUAGCUAACGCAUUAAGUGCCCCGCCUGGGGAGUACGG
rnacentral:rRNA from 1 species